UACGUAGGGUACAAGCAUUAAUCGGAUUUAUUGGGCGUAAAGAGUGCGUAGGUGGAUGUAUAAGUCUGAUGUGAAAUCCCAUGGCUCAACCAUGGAACUGCAUUAGAAACUGUGCUGUCUAGAGGGUAGGCGGGGGAAGCGGAAUUCCACGUGUAGCGGUGAAAUGCGUAGAUAUGUGGAGGAACACCGGUGGCGAAGGCGGCUUCCUAGCUUACACCUGACACUGAGGCACGAAAGCAAGGGGAUCAAACAGG
rnacentral:rRNA from 1 species